rnacentral:rRNA from 1 species
GUCGAGCGGCAGCACAGGUACUUGUACCGGGUGGCGAGCGGCGGACGGGUGAGUAAUGCCUAGGAAUCUGCCUGGUAGUGGGGGAUAACGCUCGGAAACGGACGCUAAUACCGCAUACGUCCUACGGGAGAAAGCAGGGGACCUUCGGGCCUUGCGCUAUCAGAUGAGCCUAGGUCGGAUUAGCUAGUUGGUGAGGUAAAGGCUCACCAAGGCGACGAUCCGUAACUGGUCUGAGAGGAUGAUCAGUCACACUGGAACUGAGACACGGUCCAGACUCCUACGGGAGGCAGCAGUGGGGAAUAUUGGACAAUGGGCGAAAGCCUGAUCCAGCCAUGCCGCGUGUGUGAAGAAGGUCUUCGGAUUGUAAAGCACUUUAAGUUGGGAGGAAGGGUCGUUACCUAAUACGUGACGAUUUUGACGUUACCGACAGAAUAAGCACCGGCUAACUCUGUGCCAGCAGCCGCGGUAAUACAGAGGGUGCAAGCGUUAAUCGGAAUUACUGGGCGUAAAGCGCGCGUAGGUGGUUCGUUAAGUUGGAUGUGAAAUCCCCGGGCUCAACCUGGGAACUGCAUCCAAAACUGGCGAGCUAGAGUAGGGCAGAGGGUGGUGGAAUUUCCUGUG